rnacentral:rRNA from 1 species
UACGUAGGGGGCAAGCGUUGUCCGGAUUUAUUGGGCGUAAAGAGCGUGUAGGCGGCUAGGUAGGUCCGUUGUGAAAACUCGAGGCUCAACCUCGAGACGUCGAUGGAAACCAUCUGGCUAGAGUCCGGAAGAGGAGAGUGGAAUUCCUGGUGUAGCGGUGAAAUGCGCAGAUAUCAGGAAGAACACCCGUGGCGAAGGCGGCAUCCUGGACCGGCAUUGACGCUGAGGCGCGAAAGCCAGGGGAGCAAACGGG